rnacentral:lncRNA from 1 species
UAUAUCUUAUUUUUAUUUGGGCUUGGAUGCUUAAGCCGAAUGGGGUUAUUGUAUUUUGUUAUGUAUCAUACAUAUCUUUCGAAAAAAAUUGUACAAACUUUCUUAAAAAAGUCGUUGUGUAUCAUACAUAUCAUUAGGUUUUACAUGUCCAAUAUUUGAGAAUCAAAGACACACUCCACCUUCUCUUCCAAAAACUCUUUCUCCUUGAAGGGUACGCAAGAAUUCCAAAAUCAUCUAUUGGGCAAUAGAGGCAGUAAAAAUGUCGGUUCUUUUUUUUUCCCUACAAUGGGAAGGAACAAAAACAUAUAAUUAUGAAGAUGCGAAUUAUAUUAUUAAAAAAAAACUGAUGGUCAUCUUUAAACUGUGCACUAAACUAAGUUUGUUGCUAUUAUAGCUUUCGCCCCUUCAGGCCUCUUUAAAGUGGGAGUCCCAUCAGGCCUCUUUGAAAUGGGAGCAUUAUAAUAGCCCUACUCCAUUUGCAGACAUGGGAAAAUUCAAAACAAAUCUGUAAUUGAAGGCUUGCUUACCUUUCCCAUAAAAAUGAGUAGCUCCUCAUGCCUAUAUACUUUGCACAAUAAAUAUUAUCGGAUUUGCACAUUUUUUUCAAUCUAAA